AACUCUCAACGAUGGAUGCCUCGGCUCGAGAAUCGAUGAAAGACGCAGCGAAGUGCGAUAAGCACUGCGAUUUGCAGAAUUCCGUGAACAGUAGAAAUCUCACGCAUACUGCACAAAGGGGAUCUU
rnacentral:rRNA from 1 species